AGGGUUUGAUCCUGGCUCAGAACGAACGUUGGCGGUGUGGAUUAGGCAUGCAAGUCGUGCGCGAAAGCCUUCGGGCGGGUAAAGCGGCGAACGGGUGAGUAACACGUAACCAACCUGCCCCUGAAACUGGAAUAGCUACUGGAAACGGUGGGUAAUGCCAGAUGGUCCCUUUGGAAGGCAUCUUCUGAAGGGUAAACGGCUUCGGCUGUUCGGGGAGGGGGUUGCGGCCUAUCAGCUUGUUGGUGGGGUAAUGGCCUACCAAGGCGAUGACGGGUAGCGGGUCUGAGAGGACGAUCCGUCACACUGGGACUGAGACACUGCCCAGACUCCUACGGGAGGCUGCAGUCGAGAAUCUUCCGCAAUGGGCGAAAGCCUGACGGAGCGACACCGCGUGCAGGAUGAAGGCCCUCGGGUCGUAAACUGCUGUCACGCUAUAGGAAACCUUUUAUUAGGAUGACCAAAGCGAAAGGAAGCACCGGCUAACUCCGUGCCAGCAGCCGCGGUAAGACGGAGGGUGCAAACGUUGUUCGGAAUCACUGGGCAUAAAGCGCACGUAGGCGGCUUUCUAAGUCGGAUGUGAAAGCCCUCGGCUCAACCGAGGAACUGCAUUCGAUACUGGGAGGCUUGAGUAUGGUUGGGGUGAGUGGAACUCUUGGUGGAGCGGUGAAAUGCGUAGAUAUCAAGAGGAACACCAGUGGCGAAAGCGGCUCACUGGACCAUUACUGACGCUGAGGUGCGAAAGCUAGGGUAGCGAACGGGAUUAGAUACCCCGGUAGUCCUAGCCGUAAACGAUGGGCACUAGGUUGAGGGAACACCUAUGGUUUUCUCAGCCGUAGCAAAUGUGUUAAGUGCCCCGCCUGGGGAGUACGCUCGCAAGGGUAAAACUCAAAGGAAUUGACGGGGGCUCACACAAGCGGUGGAGCAUGUGGUUUAAUUCGAAUCAACGCGAAGAACCUUACCUAGCCUUGACAUCUAUGGAUUAGCUCUAUGAAAGUAGAGUGACAGCUCUUCGGAGUCGGAGCAUAGACAGGUGUUGCAUGGCUGUCGUCAGCUCGUGUCGUGAGAUUUGGGUUAAGUCCCGUAACGAGCGCAACCCUUAUCGUUAGUUGCCAGCGCGUAAUGGCGGGGACUCUAGCGAGACUGCCGGUGUCAAACCGGAGGAAGGUGGGGACGACGUCAAGUCAUCAUGGCCCUUAUGGCUAGGGCGACACACGUGCUACAAUGGUCUGGACAAAGGGUUCCCAAGCAGCAAUGUGGAGGCAAUCCCACAAACCAGGCCCCAGUUCGGAUUGCAGGCUGCAAUUCGCCUGCAUGAAGCCGGAAUCGCUAGUAAUCGCGUAUCAGCCAUGACGCGGUGAAUAUGUUCCUGAGCCUUGUACACACUGCCCGCCAAGCCACGAAAGCGGGGAGCGCUCGAAGUCGCUAUGUCUAACCUUCGGGAGGACGGCGCCGAAAGCGAGACUCGUGAUUGGGACU
rnacentral:rRNA from 1 species